AGGCGUUUAGCUUAACAGGUAAAGCACUUGACUUUGACUCAAGUAUAUGAGGGUUCGAAUCCCUCAACGCUUG
rnacentral:tRNA from 1 species